UACACUCCUACGGGAGGCAGCAGUGGGGAAUUUUGGACAAUGGGCGAAAGCCUGAUCCAGCAAUGCCGCGUGAGUGAAGAAGGCCUUCGGGUUGUAAAGCUCUUUUGUCAGGGAAGAAACGGUGAAAGCUAAUAUCUUUUGCUAAUGACGGUACCUGAAGAAUAAGCACCGGCUAACUACGUGCCAGCAGCCGCGGUAAUACGUAGGGUGCAAGCGUUAAUCGGAAUUACUGGGCGUAAAGCGUGCGCAGGCGGUUUUGUAAGUCUGAUGUGAAAUCCCCGGGCUCAACCUGGGAAUUGCAUUGGAGACUGCAAGGCUAGAAUCUGGCAGAGGGGGGUAGAAUUCCACGUGUAGCAGUGAAAUGCGUAGAUAUGUGGAGGAACACCGAUGGCGAAGGCAGCCCCCUGGGUCAAGAUUGACGCUCAUGCACGAAAGCGUGGGGAGCAAACAGGAUUAGAAACCCUGGUAGUCCCAUGA
rnacentral:rRNA from 1 species